rnacentral:rRNA from 1 species
CUCGCGUGUCGUGUCAGCCGCCGCGGUAAUACGAAGGGGGGCUAGCGUUGUUCGGAAUUACUGGGCGUAAAGCGCACGUAGGCGGAUAUUUAAGUCAGGGGUGAAAUCCCAGAGCUCAACUCUGGAACUGCCUUUGAUACUGGGUAUCUUGAGUAUGGAAGAGGUGAGUGGAAUUCCGAGUGUAGAGGUGAAAUUCGUAGAUAUUCGGAGGAACACCAGUGGCGAAGGCGGCUCACUGGUCCAUAACUGACGCUGAUGUGCGAAAGCGUGGGGAGCAAACAGGAUUAGAUACCCCUGGUAGUCCACGCCGUAAACGNUGAAUGUUAGCCGUCGGGCAGUUUACUGUUCGGUGGCGCAGCUAACGCAUU